UACGUAGGGCGCAAGCGUUAUCCGGAAUUAUUGGGCGUAAAGAGCUCGUAGGCGGUUUGUCGCGUCUGCCGUGAAAGUCCGGGGCUCAACUCCGGAUCUGCGGUGGGUACGGGCAGACUAGAGUGCAGUAGGGGGAGACUGGAAUUCCUGGUGUAGCGGUGAAAUGCGCAGAUAUCAGGAGGAACACCGGUGGCGAAGGCGGGAUCCUGGGCCAGUACUGACGCUGAGGAGCGAAAGCGUGGGGAGCAAACAGG
rnacentral:rRNA from 1 species